rnacentral:rRNA from 1 species
CCUACGGGGGGCAGCAGUGAGGAAUAUUGGUCAAUGGACGAGAGUCUGAACCAGCCAAGUAGCGUGAAGGCUGACUGCCCUAUGGGUUGUAAACUUCUUUUAUAUGGGAAUAAAAUGUUCCACGUGUGGGAUUUUGUAUGUACCAUAUGAAUAAGGAUCGGCUAACUCCGUGCCAGCAGCCGCGGUAAUACGGAGGAUCCGAGCGUUAUCCGGAUUUAUUGGGUUUAAAGGGAGCGUAGGUGGAUUGUUAAGUCAGUUGUGAAAGUUUGCGGCUCAACCGUAAAAUUGCAGUUGAAACUGGCAGUCUUGAGUACAGUAGAGGUGGGCGGAAUGCGUGGUGUAGCGGUGAAAUGCUUAGAUAUCACGAAGAACUCCGAUUGCGAAGGCAGUUCACUGGACUGCAACUGACACUGAGGCUCGAAAGUGUGGGUAUCAAACAGGAUUAGAUACCCCUGUAGUC